GUAGUCAUAUGCUUGUCUCAAAGAUUAAGCCAUGCAUGUCUAAGUAUAAACACGUUAUACUGUGAAACUGCGAAUGGCUCAUUAAAUCAGUUAUAGUUUAUUUGAUGGUUUUUGCUACAUGGAUAACUGUGGUAAUUCUAGAGCUAAUACAUGCGUACAAGCCCCGACUUCUGGAAGGGGUGUAUUUAUUAGAUAAAAAUCAACACUGUUGGUGAAUCAUGAUAACUUCUCGGAUCGCAUGGCCUCGUGCUGGCGAUACUUCAUUCAAAUAUCUGCCCUAUCAACUGUCGAUGGUAGGAUAGAGGCCUACCAUGGUUGCAACGGGUAACGGGGAAUGA
rnacentral:rRNA from 1 species